rnacentral:rRNA from 1 species
AACGAACGCUGGCGGCAUGCCUAAUACAUGCAAGUCGAACGAAGGCUUCGGCCUUAGUGGCGCACGGGUGCGUAACGCGUGGGAAUCUACCCUUGGGUUCGGAAUAACAGUUAGAAAUGACUGCUAAUACCGGAUGAUGACGUAAGUCCAAAGAUUUAUCGCCCAAGGAUGAGCCCGCGUAAGAUUAGCUAGUUGGUGAGGUAAAGGCUCACCAAGGCUACGAUCUUUAGCUGGUCUGAGAGGAUGAUCAGCCACACUGGGACUGAGACACGGCCCAGACUCCUACGGGAGGCAGCAGUAGGGAAUAUUGGACAAUGGGCGAAAGCCUGAUCCAGCAAUGCCGCGUGAGUGAUGAAGGCCUUAGGGUUGUAAAGCUCUUUUACCCGAGAUGAUAAUGACAGUAUCGGGAGAAUAAGACUCCGGCUAACUCCGUGCCAGCAGCCGCGGUAAU